rnacentral:rRNA from 1 species
AUGCCUCGUCAUCUAAUUAGUGACGCGCAUGAAUGGAUUAACGAGAUUCCUACUGUCCCUAUCUACUAUCUAGCGAAACCACAGCCAAGGGAACGGGCUUGGAAUAAUUAGCGGGGAAAGAAGACCCUGUUGAGCUUGACUCUAGUCUGGCAGUGUAAGGAGACAUAAGAGGUGUAGCAUAAGUGGGAGAUAUAUUAGUUUCGGCUAAAUAUAUCAAAAAUGAAAUACCACUACUCUUAUUGUUUCCUUACUUACUUGAUAAAAUGGAACGUGUAUCAUUCACUUAGCUAUUACACGGAUAUAUUUAUAUAUUUUAUGGUAUUUUGUUUUGAUGCGAGCUUCUUGUUUAAAGUACCAAGAGUUUGUUAUAUACACCAAACAAAUAUCAAUUAAAUUUACUUUCCAUUAAUAAUGGUUUGUUAAAUAUUAUUUGAAUUUGGUAUAACUAUUAUACUCAGGUAUGAUCCAAUUCAAGGACAUUGCCAGGUGGGGAGUUUGACUGGGGCGGUACAUCUCUCAAAUAAUAACGGAGGUGUCCCAAGGCCAGCUCAGUGCGGACAGAAACCACACAUAGAGCAAAAGGGCAAAUGCUGACUUGAUCUCGGUGUUCAGUACAUACAGAGACAGCAAAAGCUCGGCCUAUCGAUCCUUUUGGUUUAAAGAGUUUUUAACAAGAGGUGUCAGAAAAGUUACCACAGGGAUAACUGGCUUGUG